rnacentral:rRNA from 1 species
UACGUAGGGGGCAAGCGUUGUCCUGAAUCAUUGGGCGUAAAGCGCGUGUAGGCGGCCCGAUAAGUCCGCUGUGAAAGUCCAGGGCUCAACCCUGGGAUGCCGGUGGAUACUGUCGGGCUCGAGUCCGGAAGAGGCGAGUGGAAUUCCUGGUGUAGCGGUGAAAUGCGCAGAUAUCAGGAAGAACACCCGUGGCGAAGGCGGCUCUCUGGGACGGUACUGACGCUGAGACGCGAAAGCGUGGGGAGCGAACAGG